rnacentral:snoRNA from 1 species
ACUAGAAAAUAAAAGUGAUCAUGGGCUUCCCUGUGCCAUGGUCAUUCCUAGUUCAGGGAGAGGAUGCUGAAAACUUUUCUCUGUUUGGGGGGGGUUCCUUCUUGUCCUUUGUUCUUUUGUAGUUAUCUUCCU